ACCUCUUCCCAUUCCGAACAGAGAAGUUAAGCUUGUCCGCGCCGAUGGUACUGCGUCAAGUGGGAGAGUAGGUCGCCGCCGAAU
rnacentral:rRNA from 1 species